rnacentral:lncRNA from 1 species
UAUUUUUCUUUUAUUUGAUUUUUGUUUAAUUGAGUUUCUUUUUUUAUUUUUUAUUUUAUUUUGUUUUUUUUUUAAUUUAGAUUAUUAAGAGAUUCAUUCAAGAAGUUGCAUCUCCACAAAAUAUAUUUUGUAGUUUCAUUGAGGUAUUUUGACAAUUAUGUUUUUUUUUCAAGAAUUCAUAUAUAUAAAUUAUUGAAUUUUACUAUUUGUUU